rnacentral:rRNA from 1 species
CCUACGGGGUAGCAGCAGUGGGGAAUAUUGGACAAUGGGCGAAAGCCUGAUCCAGCCAUGCCGCGUGUGUGAAGAAGGCCUUCGGGUUGUAAAGCACUUUCAGUGGGGAAGAAAGCCUUGGGGCUAAUACCCUCGAGGAAGGACAUCACCCACAGAAGAAGCACCGGCUAACUCCGUGCCAGCAGCCGCGGUAAUACGGAGGGUGCGAGCGUUAAUCGGAAUUACUGGGCGUAAAGCGCGCGUAGGCGGUCUGAUAAGCCGGUUGUGAAAGCCCCGGGCUCAACCUGGGAACGGCAUCCGGAACUGUCAGGCUAGAGUGCAGGAGAGGAAGGUAGAAUUCCCGGUGUAGCGGUGAAAUGCGUAGAGAUCGGGAGGAAUACCAGUGGCGAAGGCGGCCUUCUGGACUGACACUGACGCUGAGGUGCGAAAGCGUGGGUAGCAAACAGGAUUAGAUACCCCUGUAGUC